rnacentral:lncRNA from 1 species
AUGACUCAUUGUCCCUACCCUAAAGGAACUUCCAAUCUGGAGGGACACAUGGCACACAUCUCUGUUGUGUGGAAGAAAGAAGGGAAGGAAGGAAGAAAGGAAGGAAGGAAGGAAGGAAGGAAGGAAGGAAGGAAGGAAGGAAGGAAGGAAGGAAGGAAGGAAGGAAGGAAAGAAAAGAGAGAGAAUGAGAGAGAAAGAAAAAAAGGAAAGAAGGAAGAAAAGAAAGAGAGAAAGAACCAAAAGUCAUCCCCAAUUUAUGAACUAUCAAAGGAAAUAUGCAUCUUCUAAGAGAAUUAUGAUAUGCUAGCAAAUAACUAAUAGUGGGGACUAUAGAUCAAAAUAUUAAUUAUAUUUUACUCUGCAUGUUAGUAAAGUUGACCCCAAAAUGGGAAUAGGCAAUGCUGAAGGACUUAUGGGAAAAUAAAUACUCAUUCAUUUUUGGUGGAGCUAUGAAG